GACGAACGCUGGCGGCGUGCCUAAUACAUGCAAGUCGAGCGAAUCAAUGGGAUCUUGCUCCCUGAGAUUAGCGGCGGACGGGUGAGUAACACGUGGGUAACCUGCCUGUAAGACUGGGAUAACUUCGGGAAACCGGAGCUAAUACCGGAUAAUUUCUUUUCUCGCAUGAGGAAGGAUGGAAAGAUGGUUCUGCUAUCACUUACAGAUGGACCCGCGGCGCAUUAGCUAGUUGGUGAGGUAACGGCUCACCAAGGCGACGAUGCGUAGCCGACCUGAGAGGGUGAUCGGCCACACUGGGACUGAGACACGGCCCAGACUCCGACGGGAGGCAGCAGUAGGGAAUCUUCCGCAAUGGACGAAAGGCUGACGGAGCAACGCCGCGUGAGCGAAGAAGGCCUUCGGGUCGUAAAGCUCUGUUGUUAGGGAAGAACAAGUAUCGGAGUAACUGCCGGUACCUUGACGGUACCUAACCAGAAAGCCGCGGCUAACUACGUGCCAGCCGCCGCCGUAAUAC
rnacentral:rRNA from 1 species